AUCCAAAUAACUUUUUGAGCGUUUCGCGCUUUGCAUUGCAAUUCUGCAUUGUCAGCAGUAGAAGGAAACAAAGUGCUAACACGAGGCAUAUUUUCUGCAAAAGAAAAAAUGAGCCCUGAAAAUGUGUUUGGCAACGGCAAUAGCAGUGCAACAAGUGCGAAAGAACACGGAAGACUAACAUCACUCAGCUUCGCACCUUGUUCUUGAACCUUUGGUUUGUCCCUUGGUGCCUCCUCUUCCCAACUUUCUCCGGGUAACAAUAAUAUAAAGUAUUCUGGAAGACUAAACCCUGUCCUUCGUACAGCUAUCCUGUUUCGGUCGAGCUCAUAAGACGAACUUUCGUCUUUGAAAAUCUAUUCCCUAUAGGUCUAUCCCUAUCCUAUAGUUUUAUUCAAAAAUGUGUUGCAGACCAAUCCCAGUUGGCAAAUUCAGCUGUUGCUGUAUUUAGUGGUUUUACAACCGGAAGAGGGAGAUCAUUUAAAGGAGUCAUCGGCGGCUCUUGGUUUUCCCAUACCUCUUGUGCCGUUAUUCGGGAUUUGGGACAAUAACGUAGAAAACGUUCCAGCAUAAUCCUUGAUGAUUCGUCUACUUCAGUUAGGAUUUCUUUGAAGGAGAUUUGCUUUUGGGUGUUUGUAAACGAAAUCUUGUGAAAAUCAGGAAGCGAUGACACACCUGGCCAAAUUUCCUCAUCUGGAGUACCUAGUACUUUGGCCAAUGUCAUUUUCCCCCUAGAGCAUUGUAUGAGAGAAAGAAUUCAACAGCUGUUAAUCACUUUUAUUAAGGACUGCUAUCUUACCGGGAAAAGUGGAGAAUUCUUGAGCAUUUCACCAAAGAUACAACCCAUGGCCCAGAGAUCUACUUCCGGACCUGCCGUGCAACAGCGUACUACUAGUUAUUAAGUAAAAAUGCACUAUCAUCACAAAGGAAACUUGCCAUAAGUUCUAGAACCAUAAAGCAAUUCGGGUGCUCUGUACCAACGGGAAGCGACCUGAUGAGUGAACAGUUUUUGAUCCUUUUCGUUAUUAGUGCUACCAACC